rnacentral:rRNA from 1 species
GAUGAACGCUGGCGGCGUGCCUAAUACAUGCAAGUCGAGCGAACGGACGAGAAGCUUGCUUCUCUGAUGUUAUCGGCUGACGGGUGAGUAACACGUGUAUAACCUCCCUAUAAUACUGGGAUAACUUCGGGAAACCUGAUCUAAUACCGGAUAAUAUUUUGAACCUCAUUGUUCAAAAGUGAAAGACGGUCUUUCUGUCACUUAUAGAUGUAUCCUCGCUGCAUUAGCUAGUUGGUAAGGUAACGGCUUACCAAGGCAACGAUGCAUAGCCGACCUGAGAGGGUGAUCGGACACACUGGAAGUGAGACACGGUCCAGACUCCUACGGGAGGCAGCAGUAGGGAAUCUUCCGAAAUGGGCGAAAGCCUGACGGAGCAACGCCGCGUGAGUGAUGAAGGUCUUCGGAUCGUAAAACUCUGUUAUUAGGGAAGAACAUAUGUGUAAGUAACUGUGCACAUAUUGACGGUAACUAAUCAGAAAGCCACGGCUAACUACGUG